CCUCCUCCUCCUCCCCUUCCUCCGCCUCCUCCGGGAGCCCCGCGCACCGAGCCGGCCUUGCGGCGGAGCCUUUGCGCGCCUCUCUCCGCGGGCGUGCUGCGGUCCGGGGUUUGGGGCGCACCCGGGGAGCCGCUAGAGCGCAGCGUCCCGAGCGCCCGCUAGUACCGUGGCCACCGUGGCCGGCCUGGGAGCCCCGAAGGCGAGACCUCUCGGAGUUCUUUUAAUUGAGUGUCUCUUCAAGUUUUAUGCCUGAGCUGGAAUUCCUGCUAUGUGAUAUCUCAACACCUAUUACUAUGAAAGAUCUGCCUGGCCAGUUGAGAAAUCUGAGGCACAGAAGGUUGGGUGAUUUGCAAGGACUCAGAGCGAUGAGGAUGACGAUCAGGUUUAAAAACCAGUCCUAUUCUGCCUUGAGAACCUGUAUAUUUCACAGCCUCAUGCACUAAGUUUGGUAAUGGCACUCUUCUGGACUGCUGGGAAAAGCAAGUGUAAAAAAUUGAGAAGAGAGGACCCAAUCCUGCAAUAAGCAAGGAGGAGGAAUGUCCACUUACUGCAGUGCUACCCACCCCUCUAUCUUCUCUGUCUACCCAGCUUUCUGUUCUACUGCAUGGUUUUAAUAGUCUGAAGAUUCAUAGAUCUAAAUUGCAGACACUUUCGCCCUAAUUUCCAUGGCAUCUAUGUUAAGAAAUGCAAUUACAUUUAUUUUAAAAAUGAUGGUAUUAUUCAAAACAUUCUUAUAAUGUUUAUUUUGGAAUUGCCUUGUGUAGUCGCAUGAGAAAAUAGCCUCAUUAUUUAAUCACCAUAUCUGACUGAAUGUAUUAACUCAAAUAGAUUAUAUUCUUCAUUCACCAGACUUGACUCUAACUUACUUUUUAUAAUCUCUUUCAAAUU